rnacentral:rRNA from 1 species
GACGAACGCUGGCGGCGUGCUUAACACAUGCAAGUCGAACGGAAAGGCCCUGCUUUCAGGGUACUCUAGUGGCGAACGGGUGAGUAACACGUGGGUGAUCUGCCCUGCACUUUGGGGUAAGCCUGGGAAACUGGGUCUAAUACCCGGUAUGAGCCAUUUUUAUUGUUGUUGUUGGAAAGUUUUUUCGGUGUAGGAUGAGCUCGCGGCCUAUCAGCUUGUUGGUGGGGUAAUGGCCUACCAAGGCGGCGACGGGUAGCCGGCCUGAGAGGGUGGACGGCCACAUUGGGACUGAGAUACGGCCCAGACUCCUACGGGAGGCAGCAGUGGGGAAUAUUGCACAAUGGGCGCAAGCCUGAUGCAGCGAAGCCGCGUGGGGGAUGACGGCCUUCGGGUUGUAAACUCCUUUCGCUAGGGACGAAGCUUUUUGUGACGGUACCUAGAUAAGAAGCACCGGCUAACUACGUG